AAAGAAUUAGUUAAAUCAAUAACAUAAAUAUGUCAAAUUUAAAUUAUUAUUUUAUAUAAUAUUCUUUU
rnacentral:tRNA from 1 species